CCUACGGGGGGCUGCAGUAGGGAAUAUUGCUCAAUGGGCGAAACCCUGAAGCAGCAACGCCGCGUGGAGGAUGAAGGUUUUCUGCUCGUAAAGCUCUGUUGGUAGUGGAGAAAGAUAGAGGUAGUAACUGGCCUUUAUUUGACGGUAAUUACUUGGACAGUCACGGCUAACUCCGUGCCAGCCGCCGCGGUAGUACGUAGGUGGCAAGCGUUGUCCGGAUUGAUUGGGCGUAAAGCGAGUGCAGGCGGUUCAAUAAGUCUGAUGUGAAAGCCUUCGGCUCAACCGAGGAAUUGCAGCAGAAACUGUUGAACUUGAGUGCAGAAGAGGAGAGUGGAAUUCGAUGUGUAGCGGUGGAAUGCGUAGAUAUAUGGAAGAACACCAGUGGCGAAGGCGGCUCUCGGGUCUGCAACUGACGCUGAGGCUCGAAAGCAUGGGUAGCGAACAGGAUUAGAUACCCCAGUAGUC
rnacentral:rRNA from 1 species